ACGCCCGGGUCCAUCCAGUGCUCCCUCAAGGACAACAUCAAAGCUGGAAUUUCGCUCUCUAUCACUGUACUAGGAAGCAGCUGAUUCGACUGAAGCUCUGCAAGUCUUCUCCGCAGAGU